GAUGAACGCUGGCGGCGUGCCUAAUACAUGCAAGUCGAGCGAACAGAUGCGGAGCUUGCUCCUCUGACGUUAGCGGCGGACGGGUGAGUAACACGUGGAUAACCUACCUAUAAGACUGGGAUAACUUCGGGAAACCGGAGCUAAUACCGGAUAAUAUAUUGCACCGCAUGGUUCAAUAGUGAAAGACGGUUUUGCUGUCACUUAUAGAUGGAUCCGCGCCGCAUUAGCUAGUCGGUAAGGUAACGGCUUACCAAGGCAACGAUGCGUAGACGACCGGAGAGAGUGGUAGCCGGCAUGGGAGCGUAGCCGGGGACCUUGGGACUACGAGACGGAGCAGACGGGAACCGGACGCAACAGUGGGAAGUCUGGCGCAGCGGCCGGACGCGUGAGAUGGAGGUCUUGCGUGCGUAAUACCGGGUUAUGGGUGGAAAACCAAUUUCGAAGUAGCCAUGGCCGGCGUGACGGUACCUGAUCAAGAAGCCCCGGCUAACUACGUG
rnacentral:rRNA from 1 species